rnacentral:rRNA from 1 species
CUACGGGAGGCUGCAGUGAGUAAUAUUGCACAAUGGGGGGAACCCUGAUGCAGCAACGCCGCGUGGAGGAUGACGCAUUUCUGUGUGUAAACUCCUUUUAUAUGUCAAGAAAAUGACGGUAGCAUAUGAAUAAGCACCGGCUAACUCCGUGCCAGCAGCCGCGGUAAUAGCGGAGGGUGCAAGCGUUACUCGGAAUCACUGGGCGUAAAGGACGCGUAGGCGGGUUGGAAAGUCAGGUGUGAAAUCCUACAGCUUAACUGUAGAACUGCACUUGAAACUUCUAAUCUAGAGUAUGGGAGGGGGAGAUGGAAUUAGUGAUGUAGGGGUAAAAUCCGUAGAUAUCACUAGGAAUACCUAAAGCGAAGGCGAUCUCCUGGAACAUUACUGACGCUAAGGCGUGAAAGCGUGGGGAGCAAACAGGAUUAGAUACCCUCGUAGUC